AUCACUGUGGUAUUCGGACAAGGAACCAAGCUGAUUGUGACAAGCUCCAGCCUCCGUCCUCCCGUCCUCACUGUCUUUCCUCCGUCCAGUGCUGAGCUGCAGUCCAACAAAGCCUCUUUGGUCUGUCUGUCCAGUCAGUCUGGGCCUUUUGCAGAUGUGACCUGGAUGUCUGGAGGGAGUCCAGUGGUCACUGGGAUCUCUACCAGCACCGCUGUUAAGCAACCUGAUCAGACGUUCCACAUCAGCAGCUAUCUGGCCAUCCAGGCGUCAGACUGGAACAUGGAUAAGGUUUACACAUGUAAAGUGUCUUUGGGCUCCCAGACUGCAGAGAAAAACAUCAAGAAGUCUGAGUGCCUCACUGAACAACAGUAGA